rnacentral:rRNA from 1 species
GGUUAAGUUAGAAAGGGCGCACGGUGGAUGCCUUGGCACUAGGAGCCGAUGAAGGACGGGACGAACACCGAUAUGCUUCGGGGAGCUGUAAGCAAGCUUUGAUCCGGAGAUUUCCGAAUGGGGAAACCCACCACUCGUAAUGGAGUGGUAUCCAUAUCUGAAUACAUAGGAUAUGAGAAGGCAGACCCGGGGAACUGAAACAUCUAAGUACCCGGAGGAAGAGAAAGCAAAUGCGAUUCCCUGAGUAGCGGCGAGCGAAACGGGACCAGCCCAAACCAAGAGGCUUGCCUCUUGGGGUUGUAGGACACUCUGUACGGAGUUACAAAGGAACGAGGUAGAUGAAGAGGUCUGGAAAGGCCCGCCAUAGGAGGUAACAGCCCUGUAGUCAAAACUUCGUUCUCUCCUGAGUGGAUCCUGAGUACGGCGGAACACGUGAAAUUCCGUCGGAAUCCGGGAGGACCAUCUCCCAAGGCUAAAUACUCCCUAGUGACCGAUAGUGAACCAGUACCGUGAGGGAAAGGUGAAAAGCACCCCGGAAGGGGAGUGAAAGAGAUCCUGAAACCGUGUGCCUACAAGUAGUCAGAGCCCGUUAACGGGUGAUGGCGUGCCUUUUGUAGAAUGAACCGGCGAGUUACGAUCCCGUGCAAGGUUAAGCAGAAGAUGCGGAGCCGCAGCGAAAGCGAGUCUGAAUAGGGCGGAUUGAGUACGUGGUCGUAGACCCGAAACCAGGUGAUCUACCCAUGUCCAGGGUGAAGUUCAGGUAACACUGAAUGGAGGCCCGAACCCACGCACGUUGAAAAGUGCGGGGAUGAGGUGUGGGUAGGGGUGAAAUGCCAAUCGAACCUGGAGAUAGCUGGUUCUCUCCGAAAUAGCUUUAGGGCUAGCCGGUAAGAGUCUCGGAGGUAGAGCACUGAUUGGACUAGGGGCCCCUACCGGGUUACCGAAUUCAGUCAAACUCCGAAUGCCGAUGACUUAUCCUUGGGAGUCAGACUGCGAGUGAUAAGAUCCGUAGUCGAAAGGGAAACAGCCCAGACCGCCAGCUAAGGUCCCAAAGUAUACGUUAAGUGGAAAAGGAUGUGGAGUUGCUUAGACAACCAGGAUGUUGGCUUAGAAGCAGCCACCAUUUAAAGAGUGCGUAAUAGCUCACUGGUCGAGUGACUCUGCGCCGAAAAUGUACCGGGGCUAAACGUAUCACCGAAGCUGCGGACUGUUCUUCGAACAGUGGUAGGAGAGCGUUCUAAGGGCUGUGAAGCAAGACCGGAAGGACUUGUGGAGCGCUUAGAAGUGAGAAUGCCGGUAUGAGUAGCGAAAGAGGGGUGAGAAUCCCCUCCACCGAAUGCCUAAGGUUUCCUGAGGAAGGCUCGUCCGCUCAGGGUUAGUCGGGACCUAAGCCGAGGCCGAAAGGCGUAGGCGAUGGACAACAGGUUGAUAUUCCUGUACCACCUCCUCACCAUUUGAGCAAUGGGGGGACGCAGGAGGAUAGGGUAAGCGCGGUAUUGGAUAUCCGCGUCCAAGCAGUUAGGCUGGGAAAUAGGCAAAUCCGUUUCCCGUGAAGGCUGAGCUGUGAUGGCGAGCGAAUUAUAGUAGCGAAGUUCCUGAUUCCACACUGCCAAGAAAAGCCUCUAGCGAGGUGAGAGGUGCCCGUACCGCAAACCGACACAGGUAGGCGAGGAGAGAAUCCUAAGGUGAUCGAGAGAACUCUCGUUAAGGAACUCGGCAAAAUGACCCCGUAACUUCGGGAGAAGGGGUGCUCUGUUAGGGUGCAAGCCCGAGAGAGCCGCAGUGAAUAGGCCCAGGCGACUGUUUAGCAAAAACACAGGUCUCUGCGAAGCCGUAAGGCGAAGUAUAGGGGCUGACGCCUGCCCGGUGCUGGAAGGUUAAGAGGAGCGCUUAGCGUAAGCGAAGGUGCGAAUUGAAGCCCCAGUAAACGGCGGCCGUAACUAUAACGGUCCUAAGGUAGCGAAAUUCCUUGUCGGGUAAGUUCCGACCCGCACGAAAGGCGCAACGAUCUGGGCACUGUCUCAACGAGAGACUCGGUGAAAUUAUAGUACCUGUGAAGAUGCAGGUUACCCGCGACAGGACGGAAAGACCCCGUGGAGCUUUACUGCAGCCUGAUAUUGAAUGUUGGUACAGCUUGUACAGGAUAGGUAGGAGCCUUGGAAACCGGAGCGCCAGCUUCGGUGGAGGCAUCGGUGGGAUACUACCCUGGCUGUAUUGACCUUCUAACCCGCCGCCCUUAUCGGGCGGGGAGACAGUGUCAGGUGGGCAGUUUGACUGGGGCGGUCGCCUCCUAAAAGGUAACGGAGGCGCCCAAAGGUUCCCUCAGAAUGGUUGGAAAUCAUUCGCAGAGUGUAAAGGCACAAGGGAGCUUGACUGCGAGACCUACAAGUCGAGCAGGGACGAAAGUCGGGCUUAGUGAUCCGGUGGUUCCGCAUGGAAGGGCCAUCGCUCAACGGAUAAAAGCUACCCCGGGGAUAACAGGCUUAUCUCCCCCAAGAGUCCACAUCGACGGGGAGGUUUGGCACCUCGAUGUCGGCUCAUCGCAUCCUGGGGCUGUAGUCGGUCCCAAGGGUUGGGCUGUUCGCCCAUUAAAGCGGUACGCGAGCUGGGUUCAGAACGUCGUGAGACAGUUCGGUCCCUAUCCGUCGCGGGCGCAGGAAAUUUGAGAGGAGCUGUCCUUAGUACGAGAGGACCGGGAUGGACGCACCGCUGGUGUACCAGUUGUUCUGCCAAGGGCAUCGCUGGGUAGCUAUGUGCGGACGGGAUAAGUGCUGAAAGCAUCUAAGCAUGAAGCCCCCCUCAAGAUGAGAUUUCCCAUUCCGCAAGGAAGUAAGAUCCCUGAAAGAUGAUCAGGUUGAUAGGUCUGAGGUGGAAGUGUGGCGACACAUGGAGCUGACAGAUACUAAUCGAUCGAGGACUUAACCAA